rnacentral:rRNA from 1 species
AUUGAACGCUGGCGGCAUGCCUUACACAUGCAAGUCGAACGGCAGCGCGGACUUCGGUCUGGCGGCGAGUGGCGAACGGGUGAGUAAUACAUCGGAACGUACCCUGUUGUGGGGGAUAACUAGUCGAAAGAUUAGCUAAUACCGCAUACGACCCGAGGGUGAAAGUGGGGGACCGCAAGGCCUCACGCAGCAGGAGCGGCCGAUGUCUGAUUAGCUAGUUGGUGGGGUAAAGGCCUACCAAGGCGACGAUCAGUAGCUGGUCUGAGAGGACGAUCAGCCACACUGGGACUGAGACACGGCCCAGACUCCUACGGGAGGCAGCAGUGGGGAAUUUUGGACAAUGGGGGCAACCCUGAUCCAGCAAUGCCGCGUGUGUGAAGAAGGCCUUCGGGUUGUAAAGCACUUUUGUCCGGAAAGAAAUCGCGCUGGUUAAUACCUGGCGUGGAUGACGGUACCGGAAGAAUAAGCACCGGCUAACUACGUG